rnacentral:ncRNA from 1 species
GAUCGAUAAUGGCAAAUCCGCCGAAAGACGGGGACGCGAAGCUAUAGAGGGGGAUCCUUAUGAAGACAAGUGAUCUAGGUUUUUCAG